UUGGGGGGUUAGGGAGGGAGCCACUUCAAUUUUUUUGCAAAUUCUCCUCUCUCCCUGCAGUUAUACUCAGACCUGCUUGUGUGCCUGUGGGCAACGGCUGUCCAAAAGUGUGCAAUCCAGCGCUGCUGCUGAAGAACUGUGACCAGCUCCUCUCCUACUAUCAAAGAUGGAGGAGGAUGUAAACUCCGCACGCACCAAGAGAAUUGCUCGCUAGACCACAACUCUCAGCAAGCAGCAGCAUUUGGAGUUCAUAAGAUGGCUGUAAGUAUUUCAAUUUGUGACAGGAAUGGCUGUGUGAACCACACAUGUCCUGUCAUUACUGUUUUUACCAGUCUGAACAGUCUUUAAGCUGCAGCAUGACCCCCUAGUAGGUUCAUAAACUCCAUAUGCAAAACUGUCAUUUCCUUUACUGGUAUCUUGUGCAUCAAUGGUAUCCACAAACUAUAUACAGGAUAGAAAUGUG
rnacentral:lncRNA from 1 species